rnacentral:rRNA from 1 species
UACGUAGGGUGCGAGCGUUAAUCGGAAUUACUGGGCGUAAAGCGUGCGCAGGCGGUUCUCCAAGUCCGUUGUGAAAGCCCCGGGCCUCAACCUGGGAAUGGCAGUGGAAACUAGGGGACUGGAAUCUGGCAGAGGGGGGUGGAAUGCCGCGUGUAGCAGUGAAAUGCGUAGAGAUGCGGCGGAACACCGAUGGCGAAGGCAGCCCCCUGGGCUGAGAUUGACGCUCAGGCACGAAAGCGUGGGGAGCAAACAGGG